CCUACGUGAGGCAGCAGUAGGGAAUUUUGCGCAAUGGGGGAAACCCUGACGCAGCAACACCGCGUGAAUGUUAAGCCCUACGGGGGGUAAAGUUCUGUCAAUAGGGACGAAUUUUAACUGUCCCUAUAAAGGAAGCACCGGCUAACUCCGUGCCAGCAGCCGCGGGAAUACGUAGGGAGCGAGCGUUAUCCGGAAUUAUUGGGCGUAAAGGGUGCGUAGAUGGCAUAGUAAGUCUUUUGUAAAAAUGCUGGGCUCAACCAAGUAGGGCAAAAGAUACUGCAAAGCUAGAGUAUGACAGAGGCAAGUGGAACUACAUGUGUAGCGGUAAAAUGCGUAAAUAUAUGUAAGAACACCAGUGGCGAAGGCGGCUUGCUGGGUCGAUACUGACAUUGAGGCACGAAAGCGUGGGGAGCAAACAGGAUUAGAUACCCCGGUAGUC
rnacentral:rRNA from 1 species